rnacentral:rRNA from 1 species
GCUGAGUUUAAGCAUAUCAAUAAGCGGAGGAAAAGAAACUAACAAG